rnacentral:rRNA from 1 species
CCAAUAGCGUAUAUUAAAGUUGUUGCAGUUAAAAAGCUCGUAGUUGAAUUUCGGGAUCAAUAUGUCGGUCGUGCCUUCGGUACGUACUGGUAUCAUUGGUCUCUCCUUUCUGACGAACCAUGAUGUCAUUAAUUUGGUGUUAUGGGGAGUUAGGACUGUUACUUUGAAAAAAUUAGAGUGUUUAAAGCAGGCUUUAGCUUGAAUACAUUAGCAUGGAAUAAUGAAAUAGGACGUUCGAACCUAUUUUGUUGGUUUCUAGGAUCAACGUAAUGAUUAAUAGGGAUAGUUGGGGGCAUUAGUAUUCAAUUGUCAGAGGUGAAAUUCUUGGAUUUAUUGAAGACUAACUACUGCGAAAGCAUUUGCCAGGGAUGUUUUCAUUAAUCAAGAACGAAAGUUAGGGGAUCGAAGACGAUCAGAUACCGUCGUAGUCUUAACCAUAAACUAUGCCGACUAGGGAUCGGAUGAUGUUAAUUUUUUAAUGACUCAUUCGGCGCCUUACG